UGGGGAAUAUUGCGCAAUGGGCGAAAGCCUGACGCAGCAACGCCGCGUGGGGGAUGAAGGUUUUCGGAUUGUAAACCCCUUUCGACCGGAACGAAUCCCCUCCUGGUAAAUAAUCAGGAGGUUUGACGGUACCGGGAGAAGAAGCCACGGCUAACUCUGUGCCAGCAGCCGCGGUAAGACAGAGGUGGCUAGCGUUGUUCGGAUUUAUUGGGCGUAAAGCGCACGCAGGCGGGUUGGUAAGUCAGAGGUGAAAGGUCACAGCUCAACUGUGACAUUGCCUUUGAUACUGCCUUUCUUGAGUGCAUGAGGGGGAAGCGGAAUUCCGGGUGUAGAGGUGAAAUUCGUAGAUAUCCGGAGGAACACCGGUGGCGAAGGCGGCUUCCUGGCAUGUAACUGACGCUCAGGUGCGAAAGCGUGGGGAGCAAACAGG
rnacentral:rRNA from 1 species